UACGUAGGGUGCAAGCGUUGCCCGGAUUUAUUGGGCGUAAAGGGCGCGUAGGCGGUCACGCACGUCCGUUGUGAAAUCGCUCGGCUCAACUGGGCGGGGUCAGCGGAUACGGUGUGGCUGGAGCAAGCUAGGGGGCAAUGGAAUUCCCGGUGUAGUGGUGGAAUGCGUAGAUAUCGGGAGGAACACCAGUGGCGAAGGCGGUUGCCUGGAGCUUUGCUGACGCUGAUGCGC
rnacentral:rRNA from 1 species